UUGUAGUUGUUAAAACAUUAAAGGAUUUGAACACAGUACAAGUCAAUCCAUUAACAGUUUAAGAGGAUACUUGUGGAAUGUCUCUAGAGUGAGUCGGCCACUGAGAGGACUUUUUAUUGUGUUAACUUCAUUACAUUGAAAUUUUGGAAUAGCCUCAGGGAAUAAGGGACAGAAAAAAAUGGGACAAUAUUCACCCGGUGGCAUUCAUUUUCAGUAAAGAGCAAGUAAAACCCUUUAUUAGAUUUAAUGUUUUGUUUUUGCUUA